CCUACGGGUGGCAGCAGUGAGGAAUAUUGGUCAAUGGGCGGGAGCCUGAACCAGCCAAGUCGCGUGAGGGAAGACGGUCCUAUGGAUUGUAAACCGCUUUAGGCGGGGAGCAAUGCCGGGCACGCGUGCACGGCUGGAGAGUACCCGCAGACUAAGCCUCGGCUAACUCCGUGCCAGCAGCCGCGGUAAUACGGAGGAUGCGAGCGUUAUCCGGUUUUAUUGGGUUUAAAGGGUGCGUGGGCGGCUUUUUAAGUCAGCGGUAAAGUGUCCGGGCUCAACCCGGGCCGGCCGUUGAAACUGGGGGCCUUGAGUGGGCGAGAGGUAGGCGGAAUGCGUGGUGUAGCGGUGAAAUGCAUAGAUAUCACGCAGAACUCCGAUUGCGAAGGCAGCAUACCGGCGCCCGACUGACGCUGAGGCACGAAAGCGUGGGGAUCGAACAGGAUUAGAUACCCGUGUAGUC
rnacentral:rRNA from 1 species